rnacentral:rRNA from 1 species
UACGUAGGGGGCGAGCGUUGUCCGGAGUUACUGGGCGUAAAGCGCACGCAGGCGGUCUGCUAAGUUUGGAGUGACAGUUGGUGGCUUAACUGCCAAAGUGCUUCGAAAACUGACAGACUUGAGGGCUUCAGAGGGACACGGAAUUCCGGGUGGAGUGGUGAAAUGCGUAGAGAUCCGGAGGAACACCAAAGGCGAAGGCAGUGUCCUGGGGAGUACCUGACGCUCAGGAGCGAAAGCUAGGGGAGCAAACGGG